rnacentral:rRNA from 1 species
GACGAACGCUGGCGGCGUGCUUAACACAUGCAAGUCGAACGGAAAGGCCCUGCUUUUGUGGGGUGCUCGAGUGGCGAACGGGUGAGUAACACGUGAGUAACCUGCCCUUGACUUUGGGAUAACUUCAGGAAACUGGGGCUAAUACCGGAUAGGAGCUCCUGCUGCAUGGUGGGGGUUGGAAAGUUUCGGCGGUUGGGGAUGGACUCGCGGCUUAUCAGCUUGUUGGUGGGGUAGUGGCUUACCAAGGCUUUGACGGGUAGCCGGCCUGAGAGGGUGACCGGCCACCAUGGGCCUGCGAUACGGCCCAGAGUCCUACGGGAGGCAGCAGUGGGGAAUAUUGCACAAUGGGCGGAAGCCUGAUGAAGCAACGCCGCGUGCGGGAUGACGGCCUUCGGGUUGUAAACCGCUUUCGCCUGUGACGAAGCGUGAGUGACGGUAAUGGGUAAAGAAGCACCGGCUAACUACGUG